UGCGAAGGGGGCUAGCGUUGCUCGGAAUCACUGGGCGUAAAGGGUGCGUAGGCGGGUUUUUAAGUCAGAGGUGAAAUCCCGGAGCUCAACUCCAGAACUGCCUUUGAUACUGGGAAUCUUGAGUAUGGAAGAGGUGAGUGGAACUGCGAGUGUAGAGGUGAAAUUCGUAGAUAUUCGCAAGAACACCAGUGGCGAAGGCGGCUCACUGGUCCAUAACUGACGCUCAUGCACGAAAGCGUGGGGAGCAAACAGG
rnacentral:rRNA from 1 species